AUGGCUGUUCUAGCAGUAGAUC
rnacentral:miRNA from 1 species